AACAACACUUUAUGAACCUCAGAGCACCCCACUUAUCUGUCUACGCAUAACAAGAGAAUCCAAAAUGUCGAGGUUCACAAAGUGUUGUUGUUGGUAGUGUGUGGACGUGGGUCUUACGAACAAGGAUUUGUCGUCUUAUUUACUAUUGUUUGGGGGUUCGUCUUAUUUACUACCUUACUUUAUUACACAAGGUCACUUGGAUGAAAGGGGAAAAAAAAAGUUAUAUGAUUAAUGAGGUUCGGUCAUGAACCAAAUUCAAGAUCAAAAUCUGAUAGUUUUAACUUCUUACCCUCCAAUUAUUAGAUUUGUUAUGAGAAGGAAAUUGUUAGCACUAAACAGAGCUGAUUUUGUGCGACACGACCAUGGUUUGAUUCCGACAGAACACAACUUUUGGAAGAGGCUAAUAACUUCAAGUCGUGAUAUCCAAACAAGUAUUAGUUCAGGGGUUAUAGUUUGUGGUAAUACUAUCUCUGGAACCGCAAGGUUGCCAAAAACCUUAAUUACAGUGUUUUAUCACCCAAAAAUUUAACAAGAACCGGUCUGAAACCAAACUUCUUAGACAUCAUCAUUAAGCAAACCAUGUAGAAGAGGAUAAACUCAAUGGAAGCCUCAAAAUAUGUACACUUAUUGGAUUCCUGAUCAACUAGAUUGAAGGAUUCCAAUUUUAACGGUAAGAAAGGACUUGCAGUUGAGCAGAAGUAGGUAUGAUAUUAAGUAGAAACCCUGGACUAGAUAUUACCAUGGUCAUCUCUGAUGAGGUCACCACAACAGUACUCCCCAAAAAUGAAAGGGAUCAUUGACGUUCACUUUGAAGGAUAUUGGUAGGGAAUUAAAUUACUUGUAGUUGUAUCUUUGAGGCAUAUUGGGAGUGAAUUAAAUAAAAUCUAGAAUAUUUUGCAAAUGUUUAUGACAUUUUUACCAUGUAAGCGCAGUCAUUAUUGGAAAUAUUUGUUCGAAAGCUUGGCAUGAAUGGUUCUCUGUAAUAGAAAAUAUUAAUGUCAC
rnacentral:lncRNA from 1 species